UUGAAUUUUAAUGAAGAGUUUGGUUGUAGCUGGCCCAUUCAUUUGGGCAUGUGCACACCUUCCUCUUUCAUCCCACACACACCUGUGAACCUGUGAGACAGAGAUGGGGAAUUUACUUGCUGCUUUUUGGAAUACAAAGGCAAUAGGUUAUUGGACCCCCCCUCUGUCUACUCAAGUAAUAUAAACUCAAUUUAUUUUAAAACGAAUGUAAUGGAUGUAACACAUCUCAUAC
rnacentral:misc_RNA from 1 species